ACCACUUAGUUCCCUGCUUAGCAAGAACAAUGCAUAAGGAGGAGUGAUAAGGAGGAGACUCCACCCAAAGUGGGGUAUGAAUACCACCACAGGGGAAGCCAUGUCUUUGACUGAAUACAGCUGUAUCGACCCUUUGGGAAGAAUUCAACUUGUCCGUAAUGGGAUGACCUAGAGUGUAUAUCCACCCAACUAUGAUCAGACCUACGGGAGCAAAACAUACUGCGACAAAACUGUUUACAUUCUCUACCUCUAUCAUGUUGGACAUUGUAAGUGCAGUGACACUCUCCGCAUGGAUUAUCAAGUUCUUUCAGCAAUUUGAUCUCUGUGGUUGAUAGUUUCAGUGUUGCUUUCUGUGAGUGCUGCUGCUGCGAGUGCUGCUGAAGAUGUUAUGGGAGGUGUGUGCUGUAAACACUCCAAACUAUGGGAAUGCUGUGGCGGUGAGGGGACGUUAGUACCUUGGCAGGCUGUGAGGAAUGUAUGGCAACAUAAAUGUCAUACAAGCUGACAAUGUUUACGGGCUGCCUGGACAGGAGUGAUCUUGACUAAAGGAUUUUUGACUUGCCUUAUUGCUGAACCAUCCAGUCUAUUUGUCAUAUACUGUAAAUCAACACAUUGGUAUGCUAAUAAAAUCAAACAACAUCUUCCC